rnacentral:rRNA from 1 species
AGUGAACGCUGGCGGUAGGCCUAACACAUGCAAGUCGAACGGCAGCACAGUAAGAGCUUGCUCUUACGGGUGGCGAGUGGCGGACGGGUGAGGAAUACAUCGGAAUCUACUUUUUCGUGGGGGAUAACGUAGGGAAACUUACGCUAAUACCGCAUGCGACCUACGGGUGAAAGCAGGGGAUCUUCGGACCUUGCGCGAUUGAAUGAGCCGAUGUCGGAUUAGCUAGUUGGCGGGGUAAAGGCCCACCAAGGCGACGAUCCGUAGCUGGUCUGAGAGGAUGAUCGGCCACACGGGAACGGAGACACGGUCCAGACUCCUACGGGAGGCAGCAGUGGGGAAUAUUGGACAAUGGGCGCAAGCCUGAUCCAGCCAUACCGCGUGGGUGAAGAAGGCCUUCGGGUUGUAAAGCCCUUUUGUUGGGAAAGAAAAGCAGCAGGUUAAUACCCCGCUGUUCUGACGGUACCCAAAGAAUAAGCACCGGCUAACUUCGUG